rnacentral:rRNA from 1 species
CGAACUUCUUUAUCCCGAGUGCUUGCACUCACCGGUAAAGGGUUGAGUGGCGAACGGGUGAGUAACACGUGGGCAACCUGCCCAAAAGAGGGGGAUAACACUUGGAAACAGGUGCUAAUACCGCAUAACCAUAGUUACCGCAUGGUAGCUAUGUAAAAGGUGGCUAUGCUACCGCUUUUGGAUGGGCCCGCGGCGCAUUAGCUAGUUGGUGGGGUAAAGGCUUACCAAGGCAAUGAUGCGUAGCCGAACUGAGAGGUUGAUCGGCCACAUUGGGACUGAGACACGGCCCAAACUCCUACGGGAGGCAGCAGUAGGGAAUCUUCCACAAUGGGCGAAAGCCUGAUGGAGCAACGCCGCGUGGGUGAAGAAGGUCUUCGGAUCGUAAAACCCUGUUGUUAGAGAAGAAAGUGCGUGAGAGUAACUGUUCACGUUUCGACGGUAUCUAACCAGAAAGCCACGGCUAACUACGUGCCAGCAGCCGCGGUAAUACGUAGGUGGCAAGCGUUAUCCGGAUUUAUUGGGCGUAAAGGGAACGCAGGCGGUCUUUUAAGUCUGAUGUGAAAGCCUUCGGCUUAACCGGAGUAGUGCAUUGGAAACUGGGAGACUUGAGUGCAGAAGGGGAGAGUGGAACUCCAUGUGUAGCGGUGAAAUGCGUAGAUAUAUGGAAGAACACCAGUGGCGAAAGCGGCUCUCUGGUCUGUAACUGACGCUGAGGUUCGAAAGCGUG